AUUUUAAGCAUAUUAGUAGGCGGUGGAAGAUAAUCCAAAAGGGAUUCCUUCAGUAAUGGCGAAUGAACGGGGAAAAGCUCAGCAAAGAAAUCGAGGACUCCGGCCUUGAGUUGUGGACUUGAGAGGUAUCGCCAAUGGUGGCACAGGUGGGGGCCUCUUGGAAAAGGGCACCACAGAGGGUGUGAGUCCUGUUUGCCAUCUGUAGUCCGCUGUGUACGGCAUGCCUCCUCCGAGUCACGUUCCUUGGAAUUGGAGCGCGAAGGUGGUGGUGGCUUUCAUCUCAAGCUAAGUAUGGGUUCGAGACCGAUAGCAAACAAGUACCAUGAGGGAAAAUUGAAAAGAGCUUUGGAAAGAGAGUUAAAAGUGCCCGAACUUGCUGAUAGGGAAGCGAAGGGAGCUGACGUUGCUUGGUAACAUCUUCCGCGCAGGACUAGGAUGGGUUCUGAUUGCAAUGUGUGUUGUGUUUCUUGCCAUGCGUGUCAAUGCCAAGUAAUGAGUGGGGAGAGCUCCAGGGAUAAUGAUUGUUUCUGUCCCCGGGUAGACGAAUAUGUCUGGGUGCAUCCAUUUGUGGGCUGAAAAAUUGGUGGUUGGUUGCAGCUCCCUGCCUACGAGGCAAUUGGGGUGUAGCCCUGACACGCAGACGAGGACAAAGUGCUUCUGUUCGACCCGUCUUGA
rnacentral:rRNA from 1 species